rnacentral:rRNA from 1 species
GAUGAACGCUGGCGGCAUGCUUUACACAUGCAAGUCGGACGGGAAGUGGUGUUUCCAGUGGCGGACGGGGGAGUAGCGCGUAAGAACCUGCCCUUGGGAGGGGAACAACGGCUGUAACCGGCUGCUAAUACCCCUUAUGCUGCGGAGCGAAAGGAGGAAUCCGCCCAAGGAGGGGCUCGCGUCUGCUUACCUAGUUGGUGAGGUAAUAGCUUACCAAGGCCGUGAUCAUUAGAUGGUCCGAGAGGAUGAUCAGCCACACUGGGACUGAGACAAGGCCCAGACUCUUAUGGGCGACAGGAGUAGGGAAGUUUCCGCAAUGGGCGAAAGCCUAACGGGGCAAUGCGGUGUGGAGGUAAAAGGCCUAGGGGUCAAGAGCUUCCUUUCCUGGCGAAGAAACAAUGACGGUACCGUGAGAAUAAGCACCGGCUAACUCCGUG